UACGNGUAUCUAGUGGGCCAUUUUUUGGUAAGCAGAACUGGCGCUGUGGGAUGAACCAAACGUCGAGCUAAGGGGCCUAACGGAAUGCUCAUUCAGACCCCAUCGAAAGGUGUUGGUUGCUCUAGACAGCAGGACGGUGGCCAUGGAAGUUGGAAUCCGCUAAGGAGUGUGUAACAACUCACCUGCCGAAGCAACUAGCCCUUAAAAUGGUAUGGCGCUGAAGCAUUCUCCCGAUGCUCGACCGCCGGGUGCACUAGCGGCCACGUCCCAGCGGCGUGGUCUCGAAGUCCUGGUGAGUAAGAGGGUCGCAGUGGUGAGCGGUGAAGGGAUCCGGCGUGAGCCGGCCUGGAGCUUCCACUGGUGCAGAUCUUGGUGGUAGUAGCAAAUACUCGAGAGAGACUCCCUUGAAGACCGAUGUGGAGAAGGGUUCCAUGUGAACAUCAGUUGGACAUGGGUUAGUCGCUCCUAAGCCCAAGGCUAAGGCCUGAUCCUACGCCAGCGGC
rnacentral:rRNA from 1 species